ACCACAUCCAAGGAAGGCAGCAGGCACGCAAAUUACCCACUCUUUGCUCGAGGAGGUAGUGACGACUAAUACUGAUACGGGACUCUUAGGAGGCCCCGUAAUCGGAAUGAGUUUGAUCUUAAAACUCUAAUAAGGAUCUAUUGGAGGGCAAGUCUGGUGCCAGCCGCCGCGGUAAUUCCAGCUCCAAUAGCGUAUAUUAAAGUUGUUGUGGUUAAAAAGCUCGUAGUUGGAUCUCAGCUCAUGUCAAGCGGACCACUUCGGUGGUUACUGCUUGGCUGAGUUACCUAUGGAUUAGUCUUUUGAUACUCUUAACCGAGUGUCUUAAGCGAUCCAUCUAUUUACUUUGAACAAAUUAGAGUGCUUCAAGCAGGCAUUCGCCCGGAUAAUCAUGCAUGGAAUAAUAGAAUAGGACUUCGGUUCUAUUCUGUUGGUCUUUGGAUCCGAAGUAAUGAUUAAUAGGGACAGACGGGGGCAUUAGUAUUACGGCGCUAGAGGUGAAAUUCUUGGACCGUCGUAAGACUAACAACAGCGAAAGCAUUUGCCAAGAAUGUUUUCAUUAAUCAAGAACGAAAGUUAGAGGUUCGAAGGCGAUCAGAUACCGCCCUAGUUCUAACCAUAAACGAUGCUAACCAGCGAUCAGUCUGAGUACUAUCAAGGACUCGACUGGAAGCUUCCUCGGGAAACCAAAGUUUUUGGGUUCCAGGGGAAGUAUGG
rnacentral:rRNA from 1 species